GGGGUUGUGGCUCAGAGGUAGAGUGCUCACCUGUCAAGCGUGAGGCACUGGGUUCAAUCCUCAGCACCA
rnacentral:tRNA from 1 species